CACUUUGGAAGUGUCUCUCGCGCAAACUAUUCAGUUUAGAAAAAAAUGAUAUUAGAAACCUCAAUAUCAUUUUUGAAGACCUAUCCAUAGAUACCCCACAUGUAUGGCAACUAACAUAAUAAAAUUGCGGUUUACGAUUUAUGACGUAUUAAAAAAAAACUACUUACUAGAUCUCGUUCAAACCAAUUUUUGGUGGAAGUUUGCAUGGUAAUAUCAUAUAUUUUUUUUAGUUUUAUCAUUCUGUUAUUUUAGAAGUUACAAGGGGGGGUGGGACUGGGACACACAUUUUACCACUUGGGAAGUGUCUCUCGCGCAAACUAUUCAGUUUAGUAAAAAAAUAUAUUAGAAACCUCAAUAUCAUUUUUGAAGACCUAUCCCUAUGGAUAGGUCUGGGGUAUCUAUAUACCCCACACGUAUGGGUUUGAUGAAAAAAAAUGUUUUGUGUUUCA